AAGUGAUCCAUGACAAUUUUUCUUUGUUACUUAGCUUAUAUUUUAAGACAGCAAUAAUAAAGUACUCUUGUGACAGAAAACAGUAAGACUGAUAUGUUAAAGUAACGUGUUGGAAUUUUCUCUUUGGCUUGUAAUUAAUAAUUACCUAGACUAAUUAGCAAAUAUCAUGUUUCUCUGACUCCUUUACAUUAAUCUGUACGUUGGCUCUCCUGCCCUCACCGACUGCCCUCACUAUUAUUGACAGGAAGUGUAGUCUUUUGGGAGUCAGGACUUCAGUCUCCUCUGCUGACUCAGUCUGUGAGCAUGGUUAAAUUUUUGAUAUAUGGCCUCUGCGUUUAAUGAAGACAUAACAAGAAAAGCAAAAAGUCUGAUUCACGGCUUGCCUUUGGUUCUCGUAGUCUAAGUUUAAAAACUGACAAGUGUUACAGUUGGUCAGCACUCUGCAGAUUGGCGAUUCAUAGCUACAAAAUAGAAGACCGUCUUUGACAGAAGCCUUGAUCCUGACAUAGCAGUUAAGAAGAAUGUUGCUUGGACUGCUUGAUCAAACCACUGCCACGUAUUAUAGGAAGGAAAAGUUUGCUGUAUCAGAAUACUCCGCUCUCCCACAGUAUUAAAAAAUUGAUAUUUCAAGAAUGGAAAUGAUACUUUUUAAAAUUAUUGUUAGCAAACAUUUAUUGAAUGAUCAUUGUGCCUCUUACUCUAAAAUAAUUCCUAGAUUUUUAAGCCUCUAGUACAAUGUUGAAAGUUCAUGAUGUAGUAUAUUCUCAUAAACUUGUUACACAAAGAUCUUUAAAAGACAUUUCCCUGACUGUAUACAGAAAAAUGAUUGGAGAUGAUUCUUGUGGAUAACUGAAAAAGAAGAACCUAGUUUUAAAGAAGGAGGGCUGUAGAGUUAAGCCUAGCAAGAGCGUGCUCUGUUGCACUAAAUGUGUGGUGGCAGGCCCCUCAAAGCCGUGGUUGGAAUAAUCUUACAUAUUCCUCCUAGAUUGUUGGGAAGAUUGAAUGAAAUAAAGCAUCUAAAGUGACUAGCACACAUACGGCACAUCUUAGGCUCUCAGUACAUGUUUUAAUUAACCCAGUCUUGCAUGCCUGAUGUGAGAAUACCAUGAUGGAGGCACCAACUUUGGAGCCACCCUAAGCCUAGAUCUUAGCCACACCAUUACUAGCUAUGUGAAUGUGGACCAAUUAGUUACCUUCCCUUUGCCUCAGUGUCCUUAUCUGCAAAGUGGGGAUCACACUAGUAUUUGUUUCAUAAGAUUGCUCUGAGGGUUAGAUCAAGUAAUCUAAAUCAAGUAUAGAGAAUAGUGCAAGCACAUAAUUAGCACUUUAUUAGUAUGUAUAUUUUGAGAAUGCAGUAUCGUUAACCCUUGGACAAUGUAGGGGUUGGGGCACCGACCCCCGUGCAGUAAAAAAUCCAUGUAUAACUUUUGGCUCCCUAUCUCCUGAUAGCCUGCUGUUGACUGGCAGUCUUCUUUUAACAUAAACAGUUGAUUAACACAUAUCAUAUAUGUUAUAUGCGUUAUGUACUGUAUUCUUACAAUAAAGUAAGCUGGAGACAAGAAAAUGUUAUUAAGAAAAAUCAUAAGGAGCUGGGUUUAGUGUCUCACCCCUGUAGUGCCAGCUAUUCAGGAAGAUCUCUUGAGCCUGGAGUUCAAGACCAGCUUGGACAAUAUAUAGCAAGACCUCAUCAUAAGAAAUAAAAUAAAGGAAAUUAUGAGGAACACAUAUCUACAGUAUUUUACUGUAUUUAUCAAUACUGGAAGUUUACACAGUCUGUUUAUAAAAUGAAUCAUCUGUCUGAAAUGGUGGGCAACUGCAGUUGCAGAUCUCAAUCUAUGGUACAUAUCAAGCAAUUCAACUUUUUCUUCUAAUGUCAUGACUUUUUUCUGCUUCUUGGGAGCACCUCCAGAAUCACUAGUGGCACUUCGUAGGAGUCUCAUUAUGCAGAGUUUAAGGUACUGCACUAAACAUGAUGAAAAAUAUGUGAGAACCUCAAGAGAUUACUUUUUACUUCUAUGUGCAAUUUCCUGGAGAGACAAUUGCUCACGCGGAGAUGAUGAACAUCACUUGGUGUUUUAAGCAGUACUCGCAGCUCUUGAGCUUCACCACAAUAGCAACAGGAGGUGACUACAAAAUUGUUACAGUAGUACAAUAUCCACUACAGUUGAUUUAUGUUGAUUUACAUUGCUCAUCUGUAAAUGGUG
rnacentral:lncRNA from 1 species